AACGUACGCUGGCGGCACGCCUAACACAUGCAAGUCGAACGAAGUAGCAAUACUUAGUGGCAGACGGGUGAGUAACAUGUGGGUAUUUACCCUUUGGCCUGGAAUAACACGAGGAAACUUGUGCUAAUACCGGAUAAGUCUUUACGGAGAAAGCUUUAUGCACCAUUGGAUGAGCCCGCAAUUGAUUAGUUUGUUGGUGGGGUAAUGGCCUACCAAGACUGUGAUCAAUAGCUGAUUUGAGAGGAUGAUCAGCCACAUUGGGACUGAGACACGGCCCAAACUCCUACGGGAGGCAGCAGUGGGGAAUCUUGCACAAUGGAGGAAACUCUGAUGCAGCGAUGCCGCGUGAGUGAAGAAGGCCCUUGGGUUGUAAAGCUCUUUCGUCGGGGAAGAAAAUGACUGUACCCGAAUAAGAAGGUCCGGCUAACUUCGUGCCAGCAGCCGCGGUAAUACGAAGGGACCUAGCGUAGUUCGGAAUUACUGGGCUUAAAGAGUUCGUAGGCGGUUGAAAAAGUUGGUGGUGAAAUCCCAGAGCUUAACUCUGGAACUGCCAUCAAAACUUUUCAGCUAGAGUUUGAUAGAGGAAAGCAGAAUUUCUAGUGUAGAGGUGAAAUUCGUAGAUAUUAGAAAGAAUACCAAUUGCGAAGGCAGCUUUCUGGAUCAUUACUGACGCUGAGGAACGAAAGCAUGGGUAGCGAAGAGGAUUAGAUACCCUCGUAGUCCAUGCCGUAAACGAUGUGUGUUAGACGUUGGAAAUUUAUUUUCAGUGUCGCAGCGAAAGCGAUAAACACACCGCCUGGGGAGUACGACCGCAAGGUUAAAACUCAAAUGAAUUGACGGGGACCCGCACAAGUAGUGGAGCAUGUGGUUUAAUUCGAAGAUACGCGCAGAACCUUACCAACACUUGACAUGUUCGUCGCGACUUUAAGAGAUUAAAGUUUUCGGUUCGGCCGGACGAAACACAGGUGCUGCAUGGCUGUCGUCAGCUCGUGUCGUGAGAUGUUGGGUUAAGUCCCGCAACGAGCGCAACCCUCACUUUUAGUUGCCAUCAUUAAGUUGGGCACUCUGAAAGAACUGCCAGUGAUAAGCUGGAGGAAGGUGGGGAUGACGUCAAGCCCUCAUGGCCCUUACGUGUUGGGCUACACACGUGCUACAAUGGUAUCUACAACAGGAAGCAAAACAGCGAUGUUAAGCAAAUCCUUAAAAGAUACCUCAGUUCGGAUUGCACUCUGCAACUCGAGUGCAUGAAGCUGGAAUUACUAGUAAUCGUGGAUCAGCGUGCCACGGUGAAUGCGUUCCCGGGUCUUGUACACACCGCCCGUCACACCAUGGGAGUUGGUUCUACCUUAAGGCAAGGCAUAAAACCCUUGACCACGGUAUAGUCAGCGACUGGGGUG
rnacentral:rRNA from 1 species